rnacentral:tRNA from 1 species
GCUAUUUUGUCAGAUGAUAUGUGCUAGACUUAGGAUCUAGUUAAAUAGAAUAAUGUUCUAUAAAUAGUA